AGAGCAUCCCGCGUCGCGUCCUCCCCACCCCGGCUCCGGCCCGCCCGCCGGAGCCCGGCCCGCGCCGCUGGCAGCCAUCAAGUGGCUCGUUAAGGAAAUGCAGGUGAGUGCGCGCGGCGGACGGCGGCUGCUGGAGACGUGGGGUGUGUGCCUGUGUGUGCGGGCGGGAGGCCGUGCGGGAGCGGCCGGGGAUGCUCGCCGCCUCUGCUCCCCGCCCCGCCGCGCCCGCAGCCGGCGGCCCGAGCGCGUGCGGCCGCGCCUAGCACUGACAGCCGCUCGCCUCCUCGCCGUCUCGCCGGCCUCUCCCUCCUCGCUCCCCUCCCAGCCCGAGCCCUCCCGCUGCUCCUCCUCCUCUUGCUCAGCCUCCUCCCCUCGCGCCGCGCUGACAGGCAGCCUCGGCGGGGAGAGUGCAGUUUAUUCUUGGCCUGUGUGGAAUAGAAAGACAAUUCUUUCUCUGACUGGUAGGAAAGAAAAGAGAAGACUCCUCAGGGUUUCCAAGGAGGACCGGAGCGGCUGCUUUAAUUUCAUUGUUCUGGAAUUGUUACCUAUGGAAUCCCACCUAUCCAUCCUCAUCAAUCCUUCCAGAAGGAUGAAAUUCUUGGAAACAUUCAAGGCACAAGGAAUGAGUAACACUUCUCCUGAAGCAGACUAAGAGAAACAAGAAUAACAGUGGAACUGAGGAACUAGAUAAAAGGUGGAAGGUAAAGCAUGGAUUUCCUGACCCAAGAGCCUCAAUUUGUUGCUGCCCUGCAAUCAAGAUGAACACAUAGAUCGUGAGACAUUUUUGUGAGAGACAAAAAACCUACUUGCUUUAGCCAUUCCUCUCUUUCUGAGGUUUGCUUGGCAAUUCAAUCAUUGAGUGUCUACGACCAGUGAAAGCACCUCCUCCUCUACUGAGACACCGUGAAUGUUAAAGAACCUCAGUCCCCGUUGCCAGUCAAUAAGCAGGGAAGAAAUGGGUUGUCUUAAAAUUUGGGAGACUCUUUUAUAGAGAGAGUAGUGAAAGAGAAUUGAGUUGAAGAACAAGGGUCAUGGACCAGGAGGGCAGCUAGCGGAAACUAACCCAGAGUAACCAGGAAUGAAGAGACUGGGUGUAAGGCAUUUCUGGUGUGAAAACAAAAUAAGAAAGUUUUGGAUUGCAUCCUCCAAAAUCUCCCCAUAGAUUUCCCUAAAAUAAGUUUUCAGUGAUGUACCUCCUUGUACUUAUGUAGUUUGAAAUUUUUCCCAUAAGAUGAAACAGUGACAAUGAAUAUCAUUUCUAACACUUAUAAACUGCUUAUUUAAAAACUAUUAUACCUCUAUUUAAAUGUAUCCAAUAAUAUGGUCACAGUUUAUCCAUAUGAUACAAUCAUCUUCAAAAUAGGUGAACAAGCUAUAAUUGUCAGAAAUUGUACAUUUUCUCAUUUAAUUUGUGUUUCUUUUUAUUUCCCAAUAGAAUUUUAUCAGAAUGAAAUAAAAUAUCUUAUUCUUGAAAAUCUUAGUCAUUGUUGAACUAUGGACAGUAGUGUCCCUUUAUUUUGGCCUCAGGUCUUUGCAUCAUAGAACAACGUUUUCCAAAAGAACAUUCUGUGACGAGGGGAAUUUUCUAAUCUGUGCUGUCUAAUACAGUAGCCACUAGCCCCACAUGUGUCUAGUGAGCACUUGAAAUGUGGGCAGUGGGACUGAGGAACUGAAUUUUUAAUCUUAUUUAAUUGCUGCCUCUACCUUUCUGUGACAUGUGGGGGCAUAUUUUUAUCCGUAAUUUUCUGUUAUGAUUUCUAGAAUGGAGUUUGUUUCCUCAAGAAUCUGCAGUGAGAUAAUAAACGGACUGCCUAAAGCAAGAAGUAAAGAACAUCACACUAGAACUAUGUGAUUAAGAAGCUAUAAAUCAAUUAUAGACUUGCUGGUUUUGACCUGAAAUCCUCUAUGUUAUUG
ensembl:lncRNA